UACGUAGGGAGCAAGCGUUGUCCGGAAUCAUUGGGCGUAAAGCGCGUGUAGGCGGUCCGGUAAGUCCGCUGUGAAAGUCGGGGGCUCAACCCUCGAAUGCCGGUGGAUACUGUCGGGCUAGAGUGCGGAAGAGGCGAGUGGAAUUCCUGGUGUAGCGGUGAAAUUCGUAGAUAUCGGGAGGAACACCAGUGGCGAAGGCGGCGACCUGGACAGAUAUUGACGCUGAGGUGCGAAAGCGUGGGGAGCAAACAGG
rnacentral:rRNA from 1 species